rnacentral:sRNA from 2 species
CGAAGCCGCGGAUGGUCCUCCCUCAUCCGUAGGUAAUGCGCCCGCCUCGCCUCGCUCGCACCAGCGCGCGAGG